rnacentral:rRNA from 1 species
CAGUCGCCGCGGGAAUACGAAGGGGGCGAGCGUUGCUCGGAAUGACUGGGCGUAAAGGGCGCGUAGGUGGCGUGCACAGUCAGAUGUGAAAUUCCUGGGCUCAACCUAGGGGCUGCAUUUGAUACGUGCGUGCUAGAGUGUGGAAGAGGGUCGUGGAAUUCCCAGUGUAGAGGUGAAAUUCGUAGGUAUUAGGAAGAACACCGGUGGCGAAGGCGGCGACCUGGUCCGUUACUGACGCUGAGGCGCGAAAGCGUGGGGAGCAAACAGGAUUAGAUACCCCGGUAGUCCCUGUCUCUUAUAC